GAUGAACGCUGGCGGCGUGCCUAAUACAUGCAAGUCGAGCGAACAGACGAGGAGCUUGCUCCUCUGACGUUAGCGGCGGACGGGUGAGUAACACGUGGAUAACCUACCUAUAAGACUGGGAUAACUUCGGGAAACCGGAGCUCAUACCGGAUAAUAUAUUGAACCGCAUGGUUCAAUAGUGAACGACGGUUUUGCUGUCACUUAUAGCUGGAUCCGCGCGGCAUUAGCUAGUUGGUAAGGUAACGGCUUACCAAGGCGACGAUGCGUAGACGACCUGAGAGGGGGAUCGGCCACACGGGAGCUGAGACACGGUCCAGACGCCUACGGUAGGCAGCAGUAGGGAAUCGGCCGCAAUGGGCGAAAGCAUGACGGAGCAAGGCCGCGUGAGUGAUGAAGGUCUUCGGUGCGGAAAAAUCUGCUAUGAGGGGAGAACAAAUGUGGAAGGAAAUAUGCACGGAUUGACGGUACCUAAUCAGAAAGCAACGGCUAACUACGUG
rnacentral:rRNA from 1 species